CGAGAGGCUGGGACAGUCGCUCCGGUGGGACCCUCGGGUUCACACCGGGGAGGAAAGUCCGGGCUCCGCGAGCCAUGGUGGUUGUUAACGGCAACCGACCGCAAGGCCAGGGAAAGUGCAACAGAGAGUAGACCGCCGAAUGGACCGGGUUCGCCCGGUCGAUGGUAAGGGUGAAACGGUGCGGUAAGAGCGCACCAGCGCCCCCGGAGACGGGGGCGGAUCGGUAAACCCCACCUGGAGAAAGGCCAAAUAGGGAGGGACCAGCGGCGCGGCUCGCGUCCAUGUCCUUCCGGGUUGGCCGUUUGAGGCGGGCGGCGACGCUCGUCCCAGAGAAAUGACUGUCGCCUGCCCCCUCGGGGACAGGUACAGAACCCGGCUUACAAGGCCUCUCGCGCC
rnacentral:RNase_P_RNA from 1 species